GGAAGGAUCAUUAUCAUGUCACUCAGUCAUGCUGCCGCGUGAACUGUUCAAACCCACUCUGCGUACCUCUCCUGUUGCUUCCGCUGGGCCUGGAGCAUUUUCAGAUGAGUUGUCCCUCACACAGUCAAUUGCUGCGUGGGGUUGGUAACUCUCAAGUGACUGCUCUGGAUUCUCAUGCCCAGCGGGAGGAUACUUAAUUUCUGGAUUUACUAUUCCAUCUGUCUGAACUAUGAACCAAAAACAAUGUUAAAACUUUCAGCAACGGAUCUCUUGGUUCUCGCAUCGAUGAAGAACGCAGCGAAAUGCGAUAAGUAGUGUGAAUUGCAGAAUUCAGUGAAUCAUCGAAUCUUUGAACGCACAUUGCGCCUUUCGGUAUUCCGGAGGGCAUGCCUGUUCGAGAGUCAUUAACAACCAGUUCUAUCCCCUUUUAAAAACUAUUUGGGGGAUUGGUUAUUGGUGGAUGAGG
rnacentral:misc_RNA from 1 species